rnacentral:rRNA from 1 species
AGGCCAGUGAAUGGCAAGACUAGGAAUACCUGUACUUUGUGUAUAAAAAAAACUUUUCAUCUAAGUGAAAAGACUUAGAUAACAAAGGAAGACGAAAAGACCCCGCGGAACUUUACCUUUUCUUUAUACCUCUGCAUACAAGCUUAAAAGUAUAUAAGGUUUGAUUGGGGCAAUCUUGGAACCAAUAAAGCUUCCAACCUCUAUACAAAAUCAUAUAAAAUUUAUUAAGGACCAUAAAGUAGUUACCCCGGGGAUAACAGCGUAAUCCAACUUAAGAGUACACAUCGAAAGUUGGGUUUGCGACCUCGAUGUUGGCUUAAGGAUAUCCACAUAAGUGCAACCGCUAUGACAGGAUAGUCUGUUCGACUAUUAUACCCUUACAUGAUCUGA